rnacentral:rRNA from 1 species
UACGGAGGGUGCGAGCGUUGUCCGGAAUCAUUGGGCGUAAAGGGCGCGUAGGUGGCGGGACAAGCGUGCGGUGAAAGCCUGGGGCUCAACCCCGGGUCGGCCGUGCGAACUGUUUUGCUUGAGCACUGUAGAGGCAGGCGGAAUUCCGGGUGUAGCGGUGAAAUGCGUAGAUAUCCGAAGGAACAUCAGUGGCGAAAGCGGCUUCCUGGACCAGAACUGACGAUCAGGCUCGAAAGCGUGGGGAGCAACAGG